UGGAGUUUCUACUCUUUUGAGUAUGUCUAGACUGCAUCCCUCUGUCUGCAGAGGGAUGCAGAU
rnacentral:snRNA from 1 species